rnacentral:rRNA from 1 species
GAUGAACGCUAGCUACAGGCUUAACACAUGCAAGUCGAGGGGCAGCAUUGGGGUAGCAAUACUUCAGAUGGCGACCGGCGCACGGGUGAGUAACACGUAUCCAACCUGCCGCUUACUCGGGGAUAGCCUUUCGAAAGAAGAUUAAUACCCGAUGGUAUAAAGAGUUCGCAUGUUCUCUUUAUUAAAGAAUUUCGGUAAGCGAUGGGGAUGCGUUCCAUUAGAUAGUUGGCGGGGUAACGGCCCACCAAGUCUACGAUGGAUAGGGGUUCUGAGAGGAAGGUCCCCCACAUUGGAACUGAGACACGGUCCAAAUCCUACGGGAGCAGCAGUGAGGAAUAUUGGUCAAUGGACGAGAGUCUGAACCAGCCAAGUAGCGUGAAGGAUGACUGCCCUAUGGUUGUAAACUUCUUUUAUAAGGGAAUAAAGUGAGGGACGUGUCCCUUUUGUAUGUACCUUAUGAAUAAGGAUCGGCUAACUCCGUGCCAGCCAGCCGCGGUAAAAGUACUCUAU